rnacentral:rRNA from 1 species
UACGUAGGGCGCAAGCGUUGUCCGGAAUUACUGGGCGUAAAGCGCGCGCAGGCGGCUAUCCAAGUCAGUGGUGAAAGCCCGGAGCUCAACUCCGGAACUGCCAUUGAAACUGUUUAGCUUGAGGAUGAGAGAGGUGAGUGGAAUUCCCAGUGUAGAGGUGAAAUUCGUAGAUAUUGGGAAGAACACCGGUGGCGAAGGCGGCUCACUGGCUCAUUACUGACGCUCAGGCGCGAUAGCGUGGGGAUCAAACAGG